UCUGUUUGAUCCCGGCGGAGGCCACUGCUAUCGGAGUUCGAUUAAGCCAUGCGAGUCGAGAGGUGUAAGACCUCGGCAUACUGCUCAGUAACACGUGGACAACCUACCCUGAAGAGGGGGAUAACCCCGGGAAACUGGGGAUAAUACCCCAUAGACUAUGGAUGCUGGAAUGCUUUGUAGUUGAAAGGUCCGCCGCUUCAGGAUGGGUCUGCGGCCGAUUAGGUUGUUGUUGGGGUAACGGCCCAACAAGCCUGUAAUCGGUACGGGUUGUGGGAGCAAGAGCCCGGAGAUGGAUUCUGAGACACGAAUCCAGGCCCUACGGGGCGCAGCAGGCGCGAAAACUUUACAAUGCGAGAAAUCGUGAUAAGGGAACUCCGAGUGCCCGUAAAAUCGGGCUGUCCGCCAGUGUAAAUAACUGGUGAAGAAAGGGCCGGGCAAGACCGGUGCCAGCCGCCGCGGUAAUACCGGCGGCUCGAGUGGUGGCCACUAUUACUGGGCUUAAAGCGUUCGUAGCUGGUCUGUUAAGUCUCUGGGGAAAUCUUCCGGCUUAACCGGAAGGCGUCUCAGGGAUACUGGCAGACUAGGGACCGGAAGAGGUGAGAGGUACUCCAGGGGUAGGAGUGAAAUCCUGUAAUCCUUGGGGGACCACCUGUGGCGAAGGCGUCUCACCAGGACGGCUCCGACAGUGAGGAACGAAAGCUGGGGGAGCAAACCGGAUUAGACACCCGGGUAGUCCCAGCUGUAAACGAUGCGCGUUAGGUGUAUCGGUGACCACGAGUCACCGAGGUGCCGAAGAGAAAUCGUGAAACGCGCCGCCUGGGAAGUACGGUCGCAAGGCUGAAACUUAAAGGAAUUGGCGGGGGAGCACCACAACGGGUGGAGCCUGCGGUUUAAUCGGACUCAACGCCGGGAAACUCACCGGACAAGACAGCUGAAUGAUAGUCGGGCUGAAGACUCUACUUGACUAGCUGAGAGGAGGUGCAUGGCCGUCGUCAGUUCGUACUGUGAAGCAUCCUGUUAAGUCAGGCAACGAGCGAGACCCA
rnacentral:rRNA from 1 species